rfam:Streptomyces zinciresistens K42 contig00003, whole genome shotgun sequence.
CUUGACGGCGCCCAGCAGCAGCGGCUGGCCCUCGGGGCGGCCCUGCCCGUAGGUGGCGAGCAGCGCCUGCGCCUC